GUAAAAUAAUUCUGAACCAAAGAAAAUCACGCGAAAAUUUAAGAUCAGUUCAUUAUGGGUAUCAAUCAAUUCGCUAAUCUAUUUCUCCUUAAUUUGCAUUUUAUCACUUCAAUCACAUGACUCAUUGCAAAAGGAUCAAGUAGGCUGCAGAGCUAUUUACAGAGAUUUGGGGCUGGAUUAAGUCAUACAGGAGACUUGUCUCUUACCUGAAGAAAACCCAAACCCAGUGGCAAUUGAUUUGGCAUGAACUGUAUCUUUUUUGUUUUCCAGAAACCUCUGGCUUUUACUUCAUGCAAACCCACUGUCAAGAAUGGUGUUCAAAAGGUACCUGUGGGAAUAUGUGUCUAGCUUUUCCAAUUUCGAUGACUUCAAGCUGCACAUCCUUUUACAACCACAGUGUUAACAACAACUUUGAAAGUUUCCAGGUACAUGUCUGAAGUGUUAAUUUUUAUGUUUCUCUUUCAAUAUCUCUGGAGAUGCAGGUU
rnacentral:lncRNA from 1 species